rnacentral:rRNA from 1 species
UCAUUAAUUUAAAUUUUUUUUUAUUUAAGUAGUGUGAUAAUAUUAUUAUAAAUAAUUUAUUUGAAACUUAAAAAGCUUGGCGGUGUUAUAUAUCCAUUUAGGGGAGCUUGUUUAUUAAAUUGAUAAUCCGCAAGAUACAUAUACUUUUUCUUGCAUCUAUAGUUAGUAUAUUGCUGUCGACAGUCUUAUUUCGUAAGAUUAUAAAAGACUUAAUAAAUAAUAAUAUUUGUAAGUCAAGUCAAAAUGCAGCUAGAUACAAAAGGCUAAAAUGAGCUACAAUUUAUAAUAUUACAUUGGAUUAAAUGAAUGUAAAAAUUUAUGAAUUUGGAAUACAUCGUAAGGUGGACUCGUAUUCUAAACUAUGUUAGUCCCAAUGUCCCC